rnacentral:rRNA from 1 species
CUGCAGCUCAAGUGGUGGCCGCUAUUAUUGGGCCUAAAACGUCCGUAGCCGGUUUAGUAAAUGCCUGGGUAAAUCGUGUAGCUUAACUAUACGAAUUCCGGGUAGACUGCCAAACUUGAGACCGGGAGAAGCUAGAGGUACUCCUGGGGUAGAGGUGAAAUUCUGUAAUCCUGGGGGGACCACCAGUGGCGAAGGCGUCUAGCUAGAACGGGUCUGACGGUGAGGAACGAAGCCCUGGGGCGCAAACCGGAUUAGAUACCCGAGUAGUCC